UAUAUAUUUAUAUAUAAAUAUAAUGUCCAACCAUAGAGAUGUUUGAGUUUGAGGGGCUCGAGUGUGGUUGGCGAACUGCCUAAGCAAGUUCCCUGUCCCUGAAAUUCUCAGGCCGAUGUAUCGGGAUUUGU